UCAAAAAGUUUCUCUAUUUUUAACGGUACUGCGGUAGGGGCUUUCAGAACAUUAUUCUGCUGUUUAUGUAGGCAUUAUCUUUUUAUUUGGUUAUCUGGGUCAUCUCAGUAACUGAACAUGAUUGUGUAAUAGACUUCACAGCUGGAAGACACAUGCUGUUUACAACUGUAAUCUUGAGACUUGCAAGGAAUGCAGGAAGUCCGAAACGUUAAAGGCUGGCGCUAUCUUUCCUCCUUCACCCCACUUCCUCACCCUGCAAGUCUCAAGAUUACAGCCAAGAACUAUAAUAGUUUGUCUAUUUCCAGACCAAGUUUUGGAUUUGCUUCAUUAUUCAGUGGUAUACUAUGUGUUUAAUCCUGUGGUACAUAUCAAAUGGAUACUUUUUUAUCACAGCAUGGUACAUUCACAGGUUGCAGAUAUACUUGUGAAUAUAUUUACUAGAUCAACAAAUGUUGAAUAUAACAUCAGAUUUGAAUGCAUUAUUUGGAGAUAGGCUCUGGGUACAGUCCAUGACAGACUGCUGUGAAUAUGGUAACGAUAUUUCAGGUUCUAUUAAAGUUGAAAUUUCAUGACUACUUGAGCAAGGACUUAAUCCAUGUAGUUAUGUACACCUAUGUGUGAAAGACCCUUGGAGUUACCUGCAUAUUGUCAACUGGUGUACAGGGAUCAUCAGUAUGAUGCCCCUAACUGCGCAGGUACCACUAGUAAUGGUGGUAACAGAUUACAUGACUCCUUCAUGAAAGUGUCCCUAUGCUUAUCACUGUGAUAUGCUAUUGGGUGUCUGGAAAUACAUUCCUAAUCAUGAAAUUUAUUUGAAAGUUUGUUCUUAGCUUCAUGCUUUUUCCCCUGGUAUAAAGAAUCUCUGAUACCCAUCGGAUACUAGAAUGUGUGUGAAACCCAAUGGCACUUCAUGUUGAAGAGAAAAAUAUCCCAAUGCCCUAGGUCUCCAGAAACUGUCAACAGUUUCCAAUCAACCAAAUAUUAAUGAGUAUGAAAUGAUACGUAACAGAUCAGAUUAUACCGACUGUAAUUCCAUCUGUUUAUAUUACUGUACAGCUGUAAGAUUCUUGCAAGAAAUAACAGCUGGCUAGGCAAGCAGAAUAUUUGGAUCUAAGUAAGAGAAAGUACCGGGAGGUUGGAAAAAGUUUAAUAAUGAGCAGUUUCAUAAUUUAUGCUCAACAUAUCUUCUUAGGAUGAAGGAAGGGAUAAUGAAAUGGGCAUGUAGAAAUGCAGAUAGAAUUUUAGUGUCAAAAGCUGAAGGGAACAGACCAUUUGGAAGAUGGAAGGAUGCUAUUAGAAUAGAUUUUAAAUAAACUGAGUUUGGGAAUACGUUUUAGAGUCAUCUGUCUGACGUAUAAGGCCUGGUGACACGCUUGUGAACAUGGUAAUUUUUUAUGAAACAUGCGUAGUUAGGAAGAGAUGUCCUGCAUACUGUACUAUCUUUUGACAAAUACAGUGGAUUCCGUUUAAUUGGGACACAUCAGGAAAAGAACACUUUGGCCCAAUUAAGCGAAGUUCCAUGUAAAGAGUUAAAUAGGUUUGUUCUUCAAGAUUUGUCCCAAAUAAACGGCUGCCCCGAUUAAAUGGAAUCUACUGUAUAUGGAACUACUUAUGUGGUUGUUCUGAUUGCCAAUGAGGAGUAGGGCAUUUGUCCUUUAUUAAAAACGUGCACUGAUUGUCAUCCCUGUUGGUAUCAUAAUAUCAAAAGAUUGCUGAGAUGUAAGACUGAAGAUUUCUUUUGGGUGCUAAAGUAGGUUAAGGCAUGAUAUUAAAUUUGGGUGAAUAUGUUCUAAAUUUUUACAUGUACAGCAUAAAUUUUUAAUGCUUCUAAUCAAAUAUAGAUGGCUGUAUAUUCUUCUGCUUUAGCUGUAGAAAAUCCAGGUUCCCAGUCACUAUGAAGAAGCCUUAUGUUAUUUCAUACCCAGUUAUUUUUACUGUCUUGUCUGCCAACAGGUUUUAUGCACAUCACUUAACUUGACAUACAUGUUUCAUCCCUGCAGUGGUUCAGCCAGCUUUUCCUAGGCAGACUUAACUUGAAGCCUGGGCAAACCAGGUUUCCAAUGCAGGUGUCCAGAUAAAAUUAAAGGGAUCAGGCUGUUAUUCUUUGCCCAUGCCAACUCAAGUCACUAGGGCCUAAGUGAUGUGUUAGUCUCAACUACAAGCAAUUCAGCUUUAUCCUGAAGCUAUGCAUCUUUAACCUGUCACCAGCCAAGAGAUUAUUUCCAUCCACUUCUGAAAAACUAUGUAACUAUGACAUAUAUCUUAGAGUAAAAAAGUUGCUUUUCUGCUCUCAAAACUAAUUGCCUAAUAAAGUAUUGUAACACAUUA